rnacentral:tRNA from 1 species
GGGGGUAUAGCUCAGUGGUAGAGCGCUCCCUUAGCAUGUAAGAGGACUGGGGUUCAAUUCCCCAUACCUCCA